rnacentral:rRNA from 1 species
ACAUGCCUAAAUCAUAGCAUUAAUGCACUGUAUACCAUUAGAACUCUCCAGUUAAGCAUGCUCAGGCAAGAGUAGAACUAGGAUGGGUGACCACCCGAGAAGUCCUGGUGUUUUACAUGCC